rnacentral:lncRNA from 1 species
ACCAUGUUACAUGUCGUGCAUGCAUAUGAAAAUGCUCAUAAAUGACAUGCUUAAUGGAAGUUGUUGUCAAUGUAUUUUGCAACCGCAUACUCAAUGAUCGUAACCACCAUAUGAUGUACUAUAAGCCUCUUAUCAAAGUUAUGUAGAUAUUUCAACAUUACUAUGUCACAUAUACUAGGUUCUUGCAUCGUAGUUGCAAAUGGAUUUUCA